AGAGUUUGAUCCUGGCUCAGAUUGAACGCUGGCGGCAGGCUUAACACAUGCAAGUCGAACGGUAACAUAAAGAAGCUUGCUUCUUUGAUGACGAGUGGCGGACGGGUGAGUAAUGCUUGGGAAUCUAGCUUAUGGAGGGGGAUAACUACGGGAAACUGUAGCUAAUACCGCGUAAUAUCGAGAGAUUAAAGUGUGGGACCUUCGGGCCACAUGCCAUAAGAUGAGCCCAAGUGGGAUUAGGUAGUUGGUGAGGUAAAGGCUCACCAAGCCGACGAUCUCUAGCUGGUCUGAGAGGAUGACCAGCCACACUGGGACUGAGACACGGCCCAGACUCCUACGGGAGGCAGCAGUGGGGAAUAUUGCGCAAUGGGGGCAACCCUGACGCAGCCAUGCCGCGUGAAUGAAGAAGGCCUUCGGGUUGUAAAGUUCUUUCGGUAGUGAGGAAGGCAUUUAGUUUAAUAGACUAGGUGAUUGACGUUAACUACAGAAGAAGCACCGGCUAACUCCGUGCCAGCAGCCGCGGUAAUACGGAGGGUGCGAGCGUUAAUCGGAAUAACUGGGCGUAAAGGGCACGCAGGCGGUGACUUAAGUGAGGUGUGAAAGCCCCGGGCUUAACCUGGGAAUUGCAUUUCAUACUGGGUCGCUAGAGUACUUUA
rnacentral:rRNA from 1 species